CUAUUUCUUCAAUACUCUACCCCGUCGUUUACAAACAGUGUGUCGAUGCUUGUAGGAAUACUUUUUUAGCCCCUAAACUAACACUACAUGAUUAUUAUAUGAAGUACAUGAAGAAGAGGUGGCAUGGAACAAUAUUGAACCUGACGUGAAGAAGAUGAAAAAUUGUGUUGGCGGUACGAUUUGGCAAUCCGAAACUUUAGCAGCGUUGUGGGUGAUCCCGACAAGGAACUUUGGCGGAGGUGCGAUUCAGAGAUUCCGGCAACAAAAUUAAUCUGGCAGAGGUUACAACAAAUGCAUUUGUUAUAUUCUACUCUAGGGAGAGAGCCAAAGCCAAAGUUCUAAAGAUAUGCGAUGCUUUCAAUGCAAACUGUUACCCGUUUCUAGAAGAUGUUGCUAAACAAAUUCAUGCUGUUCAGGAGGUCAGCUCUUGAAAUACAGCGUUUGUUGAUAUUCUUGAUUUGAUUUCUUUGUGACACGUGAAACAAAAUUUCCUUUGCAACUGAUGUCCUUUUGGAACAACA